rnacentral:tRNA from 1 species
GGGUAUAUAGCUCAAGUGGUAGAGCACUUGCCUAAUAUGCAGGAGGUCCUAGGUUCAAUCCCAAGUACCUCUU